UGCACGGACUUGUUUAGGCAGUCACCAGGAGUCAAUACUGACUCGAAGGCACUGAAAAAAAAAAUCAUCACCUUAACCAGGGCAUAUGAGGAAAGGAUCUGGAUAUGUUUAGCUUACAAAAGAAAUGUCUGAAGUGAGGUAUGAUAGCAGUCUUUGAAUAUCUGAAGGGUUGUUGCACAGAAGAGAGAGUGGACCUUUUCUCUGUUGCCCCAGAGGGCAAGACUGGAACCAGUCCCAGAGACAUCACCAGGCUAGACAUCAGGAGGAGCUCCCUAACUAUAUGAAUUAUCAGCCAGAGGAACAGCUGCCAAGUGAAGUCCUGAGGGAAGUCCUUCACUAGAGGCCUUCAAACAGAGGCCGGGUGAGCAUCUGUCAGAUAUGCUCAGUGGAUUCUGCACUAAGAUCCCAUCCACCUCUAUGAUUCAGUGAUCAAUUGAUGACCAAUGAAGCUAUAAUUCAAUUCUUAGUCACACAGUGAACCUUUACAGGGGCUUCACAAAUUGUAGUUCUGGAGUCCUCAAAGGUUACUAAACUUCUACUGGUUAAUAAGCUGUGGGCUCAUCUUCACAUCCCCUUAUCCACCACAUGAAGACGCCCUUGUAAACCAUUUUUAUAUGACUUGUUCUCAUGGUGUUACCUUCGCCUCAUCCCUAGGCAGCUGAGGCAGCUAAAGUCAUGUAUAGCUAUUCCAGUUUUAAAAUUCCCUCUUCUCCCAACACCAUGGACAUGUAGGAUGUUUCAUUGGCAAUGUGACUCUUGUGGCAGUCAAGGGUAGGAUCUAACCCAGCUCCUAUUGGCUAAUUUAGGCUGCUGCAGGCAGGGCCACUUCUCUGAAGCCUUCCUACCAGGAGAUGACUCCCAGUGGGAUGGAGAAUAAAACUGGGGAAGUCCAUCAAUGGCUUACUUAACUUCUUAAUUAAAACUGUAACUCACCAGCUUGGUUAUUGAGGUAAGAUAAGACUCAGGAAAUUUUCUUCCAGCACAUUUUCCUGCCAGCUCAAGUAUUGGUGGACUGUACUGUACUCUGUUCUAUCUGAUUUAGUGGCUCAUAGACUGGACAGACUCAGGUCCUUUUAAAUCUGUAGAACGAUUUCUCAGGAAAAGAUCUGGGAUCACUUCCUUCCAGUCCUCUUAUAAAAUUAGAAAUAAGGGUGGUUUCAAACUGGACUAGACCAGCUCCUCUGGGUUACCCAGCCAGGAAGUGGUCAAAAGACCAGCAUCCCUCUGUAAUCAAGGGUUUCUUCUCUGGUACAAGCACUCUGGGCAGGACACCACCAGUGAUUUUAGUUGUGGUUUAUCUGAUGUGGCUACCUGUCUGCUAGAAACUCAACAUGAGAACAUGAUGUCCUACUCUUAGGAAAUCCUUAGAAAAUGCUUAAGGACCAAGCUCUACUACAUGGGGGGAAAGCACUGGUUGGAUCUUCUCACCGUUUUUGUUGUAAUACAAUGCAGAUGUCUGGGCUCCCAAUGUGGUUGGAGUAGUGCCAUGAAAGGAGAGGUUGUUUAAUCCUUUCCUUUGCAGUAUUCCCCCUAUCCACCCCCGUGAUCAUAUGCUUCAUGGGCACCGAUUCCAACCACAUGGGCUGUUAUUCCACAAACACAAUGAGAAGUAUGUGUUUGAGCCAUUAGGACUGGUAGAUGUUUUUCCCAUGAGGUGAGCAGAAGAGGGCUUGGAAAGGGCCAUCUUCUGCUGGAGCUCCCCCCAAGAAAUAAGAUCAGCAUCCUCAUUGUUAAUAUUUGGAAGAUUAGCGAAGACCUGGCAUGAAGGAGAUCCAUACCUAGGAUGUCUGCGGGUGCUGCCACAGAUGUUGAUGUUAUGGUGAGUUUAUAGUGAUGAUGUUUAAUGUGAUAUGUAUUGUAUAAAUUAUUGGAGGCUGCUUUUAUCUGCUUCUUAUAGAACAAGACUGACAUUUAUCUCUCCCUUCCCUUCCCUUCCCAGCUCUCUAGCUGUCUAAUCUAUUGCACAAUGCCAGAAAAGGAGUAACUGGACUGCCUUAAAAUGUAGCCCAUUCUUUUCCUGACUGAAAUAUGGAUUUUUUAAAAAGUGCCCAGUGAAACUGAUGAUGGGAAAGUGUUCACUGAAAAGCUUUAGCACGCAUUUCACCGGGACCCAGGCUGAGCAAUUAUGGCUUUUCAAAGAAGAAAAGAAAUAUUCCAGAAUUUAUUGGAUCCAAGGGAGCUGGAGAUUCCCCUUCCCAUCUUGCAGGACAAAAGAAAUGAAUAUUUUACAGUACUUCCUUUCUAAAUGCAGAAAGAUAGUCUGAGAAAUAACUGGAAGCCAAAGGACACGAUGUAUACUAAGACCGUGCAAUUAUUUUAAAUACUGCAGAAAAAAUAGAGAAAUUACGAUUUCUGAAUUUGGCGCAUGCUGUUCUGUUAAUGGGUUCCAUGAAUAAUUGGAUAUUCUCAAUGCAGAGACCAAAGAAUAAUGAUAGCCACGAUAUGAAUUGCGCAUGGCAACAUUAUCUGUAACCCAGAAGCAUCUAAGGGCACUUCCAACCUGACCAUUCCAGAAUCAGCCCUGCAGUUCUGUGAUCUUGCACCAUCUCAGUGUUUAUCAGCUGAGCUGAUUUAUUUCUGCCGGAGCUGUAACAUAUUUAGUACUGUUAAAACACCCUUAAAAAAAAAAAAUAAAUAAAC